UAGGGAAUCUUCGGCAAUGGACGAAAGUCUGACCGAGCAACGCCGCGUGAGUGAAGAAGGUUUUCGGAUCGUAAAACUCUGUUGUUAGAGAAGAACAAGGACGUUAGUAACUGAACGUCCCCUGACGGUAUCUAACCAGAAAGCCACGGCUAACUACGUGCCAGCAGCCGCGGUAAUACGUAGGUGGCAAGCGUUGUCCGGAUUUAUUGGGCGUAAAGCGAGCGCAGGCGGUUUGUUAAGUCUGAUGUGAAAGCCCCCGGCUCAACCGGGGAGGGUCAUUGGAAACUGGGGGACUAGAGUGCGGAAGAGGAGAGUGGAAUUCCAUGUGUAGCGGUGAAAUGCGUAGAUAUAUGGAGGAACACCAGUGGCGAAGGCGGCUCUCUGGUCUGUAACUGACGCUGAGGCUCGAAAGCGUGGGGAGCAAACAGG
rnacentral:rRNA from 1 species